UAGCGGCGGACGGGUGAGUAACACGUGGGUAACCUGCCUCAAAGAGGGGGAUAGCCUCCCGAAAGGGAGAUUAAUACCGCAUAACAUUAUUUUAUGGCAUCAUAGAAUAAUCAAAGGAGCAAUCCGCUUUGAGAUGGACCCGCGGCGCAUUAGCUAGUUGGUGAGGUAAGGGCUCACCAAGGCGACGAUGCGUAGCCGACCUGAGAGGGGGAUCGGCCACAUUGGAACUGAGACACGGUCCAGACUCCUACGGGAGGCAGCAGUGGGGAAUAUUGCGCAAUGGGGGAAACCCUGACGCAGCAACGCCGCGUGAGUGAUGAAGGUUUUCGGAUCGUAAAACUCUGUCUUUAGGGACGAUAAUGACGGUACCUAAGGAGGAAGCCACGGCUAACUACGUGCCAGCAGCCGCGGUAAUACGUAGGUGGCAAGCGUUGUCCGGAUUUACUGGGCGUAAAGAGUAUGUAGGUGGGUGCUUAAGUCAGAUGUGAAAUUCCCGGGCUUAACCUGGGCGCUGCAUUUGAAACUGGGCAUCUAGAGUGCAGGAGAGGAAAGUGGAAUUCCUAGUGUAGCGGUGAAAUGCGUAGAGAUUAGGAAGAACACCAGUGGCGAAGGCGACUUUCUGGACUGUAACUGACACUGAGAUACGAAAGCGUGGGUAGCAAACAGGAUUAGAUACCCUGGUAGUCCACGCCGUAAACGAUGAAUACUAGGUGUCGGGGGGUACCACCCUCGGUGCCGCAGCAAACGCAUUAAGUAUUCCGCCUGGGGAGUACGGUCGCAAGAUUAAAACUCAAAGGAAUUGACGGGGACCCGCACAAGCAGCGGAGCAUGUGGUUUAAUUCGAAGCAACGCGAAGAACCUUACCUAGACUUGACAUCUCCUGAAUUACUCUUAAUCGAGGAAGUCCCUUCGGGGACAGGAAGACAGGUGGUGCAUGGUUGUCGUCAGCUCGUGUCGUGAGAUGUUGGGUUAAGUCCCGCAACGAGCGCAACCCUUAUUGUUAGUUGCUACUAUUAAGUUAAGCACUCUAACGAGACUGCCGCGGUUAACGUGGAGGAAGGUGGGGAUGACGUCAAAUCAUCAUGCCCCUUAUGUCUAGGGCUACACACGUGCUACAAUGGCUGGUACAACGAGCAGCAAACCCGCGAGGGGGAGCAAAACUUGAAAGCCAGGC
rnacentral:rRNA from 1 species